GAAAGACUUCGUUUCUUCUUUGGAUUCAUCCAUUUAGCCGCAGAUCCAAGACUUCUCCACAGAGGGUUCUAUUAUGACAGUAACUUCAAAUCAACAAGCAACAAUUAACCGGUUUGAAUUAUCGAGAAUCGCAGAGAAGAAACGCAGAAAAAUUACGCAGAGAGAAGUGAAGAGACGCCGGAGAAGAAAGAAGAAAAAACCAAGAUUUG
rnacentral:misc_RNA from 1 species